rnacentral:rRNA from 1 species
GACGAACGCUGGCGGCGUGCUUAACACAUGCAAGUCGAACGGAAAGGCCCUGCUUUUGUGGGGUGUUCGCGUGGCGAACGGGUGAGUAACACGUGAGUAACCUGCCCUUGACUUUGGGAUAACUUCAGGAAACUGGGGCUAAUACCGGAUAGGAGCUCCUGCUGCAUGGUGGGGGUUGGAAAGUUUCGGCGGUUGGGGAUGGACUCGCGGCUUAUCAGCUUGUUGGUGGGGUAGUGGCUUACCAAGGCUUUGAAGGGUAGCCGGCCUGGGAGGGUGACCAGCCACAAUGCGACUAAGAUACGGCCCAGACUCGUACGGGAGGCAGCAGUGGGGAAUAUUGCACAAUGGGCGGAAGCCUGAUGCAGCAACGCCGCGUGCGGGAUGACGGCCUUCGGGUUGUAAACCGCUGUCGCCUGUGACGAAGCUGGAGUGACGGUAAUGGGUAAAGAAGCACCGGCUAACUACGUG